GACGUAGGGCGCGAGCGUUUGUCCGGAUUUAUUGGGCGUAAAGAGCUCGUAGGCGGCUUGUUGCGUCGGCUGUGAAAACCCGUGGCUUAACUGCGGGCUUGCAGCUGAUACGGGCGGGCUGGAGUUCGGUAGGGGAGACUGGAAUUCCUGGUGUAGCGGUGAAAUGCGCAGAUAUCAGGAGGAACACCAAUGGCGAAGGCAGCUCACUGGGACGGUACUGACGCUGGAGACGCGAAAGCGUGGGGAGCAAACAGG
rnacentral:rRNA from 1 species